rnacentral:rRNA from 1 species
GAUGAUCUCCAGCUUGCUGGGGGGAUUAGUGGCGAACGGGUGAGUAACACGUGAGUAACCUGCCCUUGACUCUGGGAUAAGCCUGGGAAACCGGGUCUAAUACUGGAUACGACCUUCUGGCGCAUGCCAUGUUGGUGGAAAGCUUUUGUGGUUUUGGAUGGACUCGCGGCCUAUCAGCUUGUUGGUGGGGUAAUGGCCUACCAAGGCGACGACGGGUAGCCGGCCUGAGAGGGUGACCGGCCACACUGGGACUGAGACACGGCCCAGACUCCUACGGGAGGCAGCAGUGGGGAAUAUUGCACAAUGGGCGCAAGCCUGAUGCAGCGACGCCGCGUGAGGGAUGAAGGCCUUCGGGUUGUAAACCUCUUUCAGUAGGGAAGAAGCCGCUCCUUUGGGGGUGGUGACGGUACCUGCAGAAAAAACGCCGGCUAACUACGUGCCAGCAGCCGCGGUAAUACGUAGGGCGCAAGCGUUAUCCGGAAUUAUUGGGCGUAAAGAGCUCGUAGGCGGUUUGUCGCGUCUGCCGUGAAAGUCCGGGGCUUAACUCCGGAUCUGCGGUGGGUACGGGCAGACUAUAGUGCAGUAGGGGAGACUGUAAUUCCUGGUGUAGCGGUGAAAUGCGCAGAUAUCACGAGGAACACCGAUGGCGAAAGCACGUCUCUGGGCUGUAACUGACGCUGAGGAGCGAAAGCAUGUGGAGCGAACACGAUUAUAUACCCUGGUAGUCCACGCCGUAUACGUUGGGCACUAUGUGUGGUGGACAUUCUACGU